GGGUAUAGCUCAGUGGUAGAGUGCACGCUAACCAUGCAUGAGGUCUUAGGUUCGAUUCCCAGUACCUCCA
rnacentral:tRNA from 1 species